UGGUAAUCAGCAGUUUUUCUCCUUAUCUCCUCAUCUAGAAGUGUUUCUGUGCUACUCCUCCAUCUAUAACACAAGUUAGUAUCAUCCUUAAAGCAUCUGAAAUUAAGCUGCAUUGCUAAAUCAAUAACGUGAUUUGUGCUAAGAAAUACUCCCCUAUCCUCUUCCUUUUUCCAGUGGCGCUGAAUGACAGAUUUUAGAUCAAUUUAACGUUUUAUCACUAUUACGUUUCAUUUAAUUAAUUUUGCUUUUUCUCUCUUAUUUUUGUCUAUUUAUUUAUUUAUGUUAUUUACUUAUUUAUCAUGCCAUCCUGUGAUGAUAAUCUUAAAGACUUUUUAGCCAAUUAUCGUCAAAAAGGCCAUUUAAAAAUAUUAUGUUAAAGAUUUCACAAGAUAAAAAUGUGAACAUAAUUUUUAUCGAAUGAGGGGUACAAUUAUUCAAUAUUUUUGUGACAUUAUUUUCUACGUUAGAACUUACAGCUGAUAGAAAAAUAUAGGAUCAGCUAGGUUUGGCUAGAUCUGUUGGGAAACUCAACGGAGCUGAAACAACACUGUUGUCUCGGAUGAGAUGUUCCAUGAAUCAUUUAGUCAACUGAAUGCCAAAUUAUUCAUUUAAUGUUUAUUUUUAUGCAAUGAAUGGAAUGGGAUGGAACGUUACUAUAAACUGUCCGGAAAUUUGCGCAUGUUUGCUCGAAGGAGAGAACUGUUGAAGCCUAAAGCGUUCUCCUAGACUUAUAAAUAGACACCGUUUCCUUAACCAAUGAAAAUAAGUGAUGACGCUGAUGUAUUCCGUUUUGAAAAGAAAAUAAGGCUUUACUGCAUGUCCGCUGCAGCUGAGAAUCCUAGGACAAUAAAGAUUAUAUUGACGUCCAAUGGUGAGUUGGGCUGAAAUCCAGGUUACUAAUCCUAUUAUUUAUUUAUUUAUUGAUAUUAUUAUUAUCUUUUUUUAGGCUAACUUUCUCAGUUAACUAUGUUCUACAGUAGUUUAGUAUUUUUCCACAGUUCUGACAUUUCAUCAAUUCAACUGGUUGUUGCCAAAAAGCCUUGUUCAUUACCUGACUGCAGCAAGCACUCUUUUACUGGGUGUAACCAUAGGAAACAGUCUCUUUUGAGCCUCUCUUUGUAAGUCCAGGAUGACCACCGUCAUUGAUUAAAGUUCACAUGUUAGCACACAUGCUCCCCCUUUUGUACUUUGUUUCAUCAGCAGCAGGGCAAAUAAGUUUCUGCCUCUUUGUCCAUCUUGUAGUGCUCCCCGUCUUGAUGUUAUAAGUCACAGUUUUUGGUGAGGGCUUCCAGGUUCUCUUUGUAUAGAAGUCAGACCCAAACAUUCUUUGCAGCUGGUUGUGACAGGCCCACCCAGUAAAGUUCAUGCCUCCACAAUGCACAGCAAACGUUUUCCUUAAAUAUGUUGAUUGAGUUGAAAGGACAGAACUUUCUCUUUUACAAAUCAAAAUCAACGAAGGUUUCUAAUAUUUAGUCAACUUUAUUGACUCAAAGGUAAAUCUAGACUAUUUCCUAUGCACAAUUUUUUCUGAAUCAUCAAAUUAGUUCUACACAGGUUUUAAACUUUAGGCACAAUCUAUCCCAAAUGCAAGAUCCCUCCUUUCAUUUUUUAUUUAUCUAUUUUAUUUUGGGAAAAUAACUACCAGUUUUUAACUCAAAACAGCCUAGUACAGUUUCUAGCCAGGUUACAGGAAAUAAUACUUAGUUUAUCUGUUUUUUCAUUAUUCAGCGUCCCAAAAUCCAGCCAUUAACGUUAAUGGUUCUUAAAGUUGAGGUAAGACAAUUAUUGGAUUUUGUUUUAUAGCAAGAUUUAACAAAUAUUUUAUUUCCUGACUGAUUAUUUGUUAAUUUUAUGGUUUUCAUAAAGAUGAUCCUGAGAGGUUCAGAGCUGCUUUUCGCAGUACCCUGUGCUAUUUUUAGACUGCGGGACUCCUGUGUGUAAAAGUGGGUGGAGUCAGGUCCCCAGGCUGAAACUCCAGUCAUUCUCACUAAAUCUGUCCGAGAGGAAGGAUCUCCUGAAUACCCUAACCAGAAGCCUUAAGUCUCUCGAACUAAAUAACCGUCUAGUAAAAACAUGGACCGCACCCUGUUUCUCAAGCAGCUGCUCCCUCUAUUAAAAACUGAGUCAUUCAGAAGAUCCAGCGAAAGCAGCUCAUGCAAGAAGACACGCAUCCACUCAUUCACAAGGCACAGAGACAUUCUUUGUUUGUCACAGUCUCUUUUUAUUAUUAUUAUUAUUUUUUUAAGGUAAGUCAGUUCGUCACUUAUUUAUUCUCUCUCUAUAUAUAUAUAAUAUUUUAAGCACAGAAUUUAUUUAACACUGCACUGGUUAUUUUCAGAAUUUAAUGCUUACUAUGCUUUUAAGCAGGCCUUAUGUAACAUUAGAGCAAAUCCAAUUGCAAUUUUUUUGAGAGCGCUCUGAGGAAUAGUUUAUAUAUUUAUUUUCUGCAGAUCUGUUUUGAUUUUACUGUUUAGCAGCUAUAUGACUAUAUUUCUAAAAUAAAGCUGUCAUUUACAUCCUUA